AGACCCGAAACCCGGUGAUCUAGCCAUGGGCAGGUUGAAGGUUGGGUAACACUAACUGGAGGACCGAACCGACUAAUGUUGAAAAAUUAGCGGAUGACCUGUGGCUGGGGGUGAAAGGCCAAUCAAACCGGGAGAUAGCUGGUUCUCCCCGAAAGCUAUUUAGGUAGCGCCUCGUGAAUUCAUCUCCGGGGGUAGAGCACUGUUUCGGCUAGGGGGCCAUCCCGGCUUACCAACCCGAUGCAAACUGCGAAUACCGGAGAAUGUUAUCACGGGAGACACACGGCGGGUGCUAACGUCCGUCGUGAAGAGGGAAACAACCCAGACCGCCAGCUAAGGUCCCAAAGUCAUGGUUAAGUGGGAAACGAUGUGGGAAGGCCCAGACAGCCAGGAUGUUGGCUUAGAAGCAGCCAUCAUUUAAAGAAAGCGUAAUAGCUCACUGGUCGAGUCGGCCUGCGCGGAAGAUGUAACGGGGCUAAACCAUGCACCGAAGCUGCGGCAGCGACACUCAGGUGUUGUUGGGUAGGGGAGCGUUCUGUAAGCCUGUGAAGGUGUGUCGUGAGGCAUGCUGGAGGUAUCAGAAGUGCGAAUGCUGACAUAAGUAACGAUAAAGCGGGUGAAAAGCCCGCUCGCCGGAAGACCAAGGGUUCCUGUCCAACGUUAAUCGGGGCAGGGUGAGUCGACCCCUAAGGCGAGGCCGAAAGGCGUAGUCGAUGGGAAACGGGUUAAUAUUCCCGUACUUGGUGUUACUGCGAAGGGGGGACGGAGAAGGCUAUGUUGGCCGGGCGACGGUUGUCCCGGUUUAAGCGUGUAGGUGUGUGUUCCAGGUAAAUCCGGUUCACUUUAACACUGAGGCGUGAUGACGAGGCACUACGGUGCUGAAGCAACAAAUGCCCUGCUUCCAGGAAAAGCCUCUAAGCAUCAGGUAACAUCAAAUCGUACCCCAAACCGACACAGGUGGUCAGGUAGAGAAUACCAAGGCGCUUGAGAGAACUCGGGUGAAGGAACUAGGCAAAAUGGUGCCGUAACUUCGGGAGAAGGCACGCUGACAUGUAGGUGAAGUGAUUUACUCAUGGAGCUGAAGUCAGUCGAAGAUACCAGCUGGCUGCAACUGUUUAUUAAAAACACAGCACUGUGCAAACACGAAAGUGGACGUAUACGGUGUGACGCCUGCCCGGUGCCGGAAGGUUAAUUGAUGGGGUCAGCGCAAGCGAAGCUCCUGAUCGAAGCCCCGGUAAACGGCGGCCGUAACUAUAACGGUCCUAAGGUAGCGAAAUUCCUUGUCGGGUAAGUUCCGACCUGCACGAAUGGCGUAAUGAUGGCCAGGCUGUCUCCACCCGAGACUCAGUGAAAUUGAACUCGCUGUGAAGAUGCAGUGUACCCGCGGCAAGACGGAAAGACCCCGUGAACCUUUACUAUAGCUUGACACUGAACAUUGAGCCUUGAUGUGUAGGAUAGGUGGGAGGCUUUGAAGCGUGGACGCCAGUCUGCGUGGAGCCGACCUUGAAAUACCACCCUUUAAUGUUUGAUGUUCUAACGUGGACCCGUAAUCCGGGUUGCGGACAGUGUCUGGUGGGUAGUUUGACUGGGGCGGUCUCCUCCUAAAGAGUAACGGAGGAGCACGAAGGUUGGCUAAUCCUGGUCGGACAUCAGGAGGUUAGUGCAAUGGCAUAAGCCAGCUUGACUGCGAGCGUGACGGCGCGAGCAGGUGCGAAAGCAGGUCAUAGUGAUCCGGUGGUUCUGAAUGGAAGGGCCAUCGCUCAACGGAUAAAAGGUACUCCGGGGAUAACAGGCUGAUACCGCCCAAGAGUUCAUAUCGACGGCGGUGUUUGGCACCUCGAUGUCGGCUCAUCACAUCCUGGGGCUGAAGUAGGUCCCAAGGGUAUGGCUGUUCGCCAUUUAAAGUGGUACGCGAGCUGGGUUUAGAACGUCGUGAGACAGUUCGGUCCCUAUCUGCCGUGGGCGCUGGAGAACUGAGGGGGGCUGCUCCUAGUACGAGAGGACCGGAGUGGACGCAUCACUGGUGUUCGGGUUGUCAUGCCAAUGGCACUGCCCGGUAGCUAAAUGCGGAAGAGAUAAGUGCUGAAAGCAUCUAAGCACGAAACUUGCCCCGA
rnacentral:rRNA from 1 species